CAAACUCAUUCGAUGAGAGAUAUAACAACAACAAUACUAAUAUGUCGAGUGAUUCUAGAUCUGUUUCUCGUUCACAGCAUAUGUUGGACUGGAGAUGUUGGAAUACUGCUGCCUUUCAGCAAACGAAACUAAUGAUAACGUUCUCAACAUGGACGAGAGCGAUCUCGACGUGAUCGACAGCGGUGUCGUCAACCAGGCUAGCGACAGCGGUCCAGCUGCAGGAGGCUAGAGGCAGAGGCAGAGGCGACAGAGAAGCAGUGAGAGGCAGAGGCAGAGGCAGAGGAUACAUCUACCCGUACGCACCACCGUAUUUCGUGAUUGAUGUAGAUUUAAUCAAGCAAAUUUGAGUCACUGUGAACUGUCCUACCACACACAUUAUCAUAACCAUUCACAAGAUCAUCUACCAAUACUUCAAUUACAGCGUCAAGUGAAACAAUUAACCAAUCUAAUAGUAGCCAUGGAAAAAAAUUAAUCA